GAGGCCACUCCCUGGGCCUCCUGCUAUGCACUGGGCUCAGUGCUUAUCUCACGCUAAGUGACCUCUUUAUAUUCCUAAAAUGUUUGAAACCCAUCUGCUGAUUUAGCCUGCGGAAGGAAUUUGUUUUUAUAGUUAAUAUCAAUAUAUUGAAGCUACGUAGCCAGAGAAAAUGAUUUUCAUAUUUCAAUCACAUAACAAAUGAGGAACCACGACUGGGAGCUGCAUCCCCAGAGGGCGGUGCUCUGCAUGGCAAACCGUGAUCUAUUUCACUGGAGCAUCUCCUUCUCCUUGAGGCACUGUUCAACCCAGAACCAGCUUUCUCCGGGGAUGUUGGCUUCAGAACCUGGAAGAUAUUGUGGAAGGUUCUUGAGGGGGAGAAGUGUGCUGGCUGUUUUCUGUGCCCUGCCCCCCGGACCCAUUUGAGUUUUUGCUUUGCUUGGUGCUUGGCAGGAGGCACCUGGGCUGCACCCAGGGCUCCCCCGCCUUCUGCUUAUGACUGGAUCUGGCUAGCGGGAACAGAACAACAGCAGG
rnacentral:lncRNA from 1 species